GCCGCAGUAGCUCAGGGGUAGAGCAACUGAUUCGUAAUCAGUAGGUCGGGGGUUCAAAUCCUCCCUGCGGCACCA
rnacentral:tRNA from 2 species